rnacentral:rRNA from 2 species
UUAAGUUAUUAAGGGCGCACGGUGGAUGCCUUGGCACUAGAAGCCGAUGAAGGACGUUACUAACGACGAUAUGCUUUGGGGAGCUGUAAGUAAGCUUUGAUCCAGAGAUUUCCGAAUGGGGAAACCCAGCAUGAGUUAUGUCAUGUUAUCGAUAUGUGAAUACAUAGCAUAUCAGAAGGCACACCCGGAGAACUGAAACAUCUUAGUACCCGGAGGAAGAGAAAGAAAAUUCGAUUCCCUUAGUAGCGGCGAGCGAAACGGGAAGAGCCCAAACCAACAAGCUUGCUUGUUGGGGUUGUAGGACACUCUAUACGGAGUUACAAAGGACGACAUUAGACGAAUCAUCUGGAAAGAUGAAUCAAAGAAGGUAAUAAUCCUGUAGUCGAAAAUGUUGUCUCUCUUGAGUGGAUCCUGAGUAAGACGGAGCACGUGAAAUUCCGUCGGAAUCUGGGAGGACCAUCUCCUAAGGCUAAAUACUCUCUAGUGACCGAUAGUGAACCAGUACCGUGAGGGAAAGGUGAAAAGCACCCCGGAAGGGGAGUGAAAUAGAACCUGAAACCGUGUGCUUACAAGUAGUCAGAGCCCGUUAAUGGGUGAUGGCGUGCCUUUUGUAGAAUGAACCGGCGAGUUACGAUUUGAUGCAAGGUUAAGCAGUAAAUGUGGAGCCGUAGCGAAAGCGAGUCUGAAUAGGGCGUUUAGUAUUUGGUCGUAGACCCGAAACCAGGUGAUCUACCCUUGGUCAGGUUGAAGUUCAGGUAACACUGAAUGGAGGACCGAACCGACUUACGUUGAAAAGUGAGCGGAUGAACUGAGGGUAGCGGAGAAAUUCCAAUCGAACCUGGAGAUAGCUGGUUCUCUCCGAAAUAGCUUUAGGGCUAGCCUCAAGUGAUGAUUAUUGGAGGUAGAGCACUGUUUGGACGAGGGGCCCCUCUCGGGUUACCGAAUUCAGACAAACUCCGAAUGCCAAUUAAUUUAACUUGGGAGUCAGAACAUGGGUGAUAAGGUCCGUGUUCGAAAGGGAAACAGCCCAGACCACCAGCUAAGGUCCCAAAAUAUAUGUUAAGUGGAAAAGGAUGUGGCGUUGCCCAGACAACUAGGAUGUUGGCUUAGAAGCAGCCAUCAUUUAAAGAGUGCGUAAUAGCUCACUAGUCGAGUGACACUGCGCCGAAAAUGUACCGGGGCUAAACAUAUUACCGAAGCUGUGGAUUGUCCUUUGGACAAUGGUAGGAGAGCGUUCUAAGGGCGUUGAAGCAUGAUCGUAAGGACAUGUGGAGCGCUUAGAAGUGAGAAUGCCGGUGUGAGUAGCGAAAGACGGGUGAGAAUCCCGUCCACCGAUUGACUAAGGUUUCCAGAGGAAGGCUCGUCCGCUCUGGGUUAGUCGGGUCCUAAGCUGAGGCCGACAGGCGUAGGCGAUGGAUAACAGGUUGAUAUUCCUGUACCACCUAUAAUCGUUUUAAUCGAUGGGGGGACGCAGUAGGAUAGGCGAAGCGUGCGAUUGGAUUGCACGUCUAAGCAGUAAGGCUGAGUAUUAGGCAAAUCCGGUACUCGUUAAGGCUGAGCUGUGAUGGGGAGAAGACAUUGAGUCUUCGAGUCGUUGAUUUCACACUGCCGAGAAAAGCCUCUAGAUAGAAAAUAGGUGCCCGUACCGCAAACCGACACAGGUAGUCAAGAUGAGAAUUCUAAGGUGAGCGAGCGAACUCUCGUUAAGGAACUCGGCAAAAUGACCCCGUAACUUCGGGAGAAGGGGUGCUCUUUAGGGUUAACGCCCAGAAGAGCCGCAGUGAAUAGGCCCAAGCGACUGUUUAUCAAAAACACAGGUCUCUGCUAAACCGUAAGGUGAUGUAUAGGGGCUGACGCCUGCCCGGUGCUGGAAGGUUAAGAGGAGUGGUUAGCUUCUGCGAAGCUACGAAUCGAAGCCCCAGUAAACGGCGGCCGUAACUAUAACGGUCCUAAGGUAGCGAAAUUCCUUGUCGGGUAAGUUCCGACCCGCACGAAAGGCGUAACGAUUUGGGCACUGUCUCAACGAGAGACUCGGUGAAAUCAUAGUACCUGUGAAGAUGCAGGUUACCCGCGACAGGACGGAAAGACCCCGUGGAGCUUUACUGUAGCCUGAUAUUGAAAUUCGGCACAGCUUGUACAGGAUAGGUAGGAGCCUUUGAAACGUGAGCGCUAGCUUACGUGGAGGCGCUGGUGGGAUACUACCCUAGCUGUGUUGGCUUUCUAACCCGCACCACUUAUCGUGGUGGGAGACAGUGUCAGGCGGGCAGUUUGACUGGGGCGGUCGCCUCCUAAAAGGUAACGGAGGCGCUCAAAGGUUCCCUCAGAAUGGUUGGAAAUCAUUCAUAGAGUGUAAAGGCAUAAGGGAGCUUGACUGCGAGACCUACAAGUCGAGCAGGGUCGAAAGACGGACUUAGUGAUCCGGUGGUUCCGCAUGGAAGGGCCAUCGCUCAACGGAUAAAAGCUACCCCGGGGAUAACAGGCUUAUCUCCCCCAAGAGUUCACAUCGACGGGGAGGUUUGGCACCUCGAUGUCGGCUCAUCGCAUCCUGGGGCUGUAGUCGGUCCCAAGGGUUGGGCUGUUCGCCCAUUAAAGCGGUACGCGAGCUGGGUUCAGAACGUCGUGAGACAGUUCGGUCCCUAUCCGUCGUGGGCGUAGGAAAUUUGAGAGGAGCUGUCCUUAGUACGAGAGGACCGGGAUGGACAUACCUCUGGUGUACCAGUUGUCGUGCCAACGGCAUAGCUGGGUAGCUAUGUGUGGACGGGAUAAGUGCUGAAAGCAUCUAAGCAUGAAGCCCCCCUC